GCUGACCCGCGUAGCCCAAAACCUAGCAUCUCAUCACAAAACUAAGCUCGCGUCCCAUUACACGGAAAAAAAGGGCCACCUGUAAGGCCGUGUAGAACUCCCUCUCCCGGCCUGUGGCCUCCGGACAACCAGUCAACCAGAGAGGAGAGCGCGUCGCGUCGCGCGCACGAGCAGGCGCCGGAAACAUGGCCACGGCGGCGCACGCGAGACGGCUGGCGGCCUCGCGCGACGACCCGUCGGCCGCCCCGACGUCGGGGAGGUCCCAGUUCGACCUCUCGUCGGGGGCGGCCACCGCCGUGGUGUUCCUCUCCAUCAUCCUCUGCUUCAUCCUGCUCUGCACCUACUGCCGCUGCGCUCGGCAGCGCGCCAUCGCGGCCGCGCGCGGCGGCCGCGCCAUGCGCCACGGCUUCCCGAGCGCCCUCCUCCGCCCGGCCGACGGCGCGGCGCUGACCGUGGUGCGCUACGCCGACGCCGGCGCCGGCGCCAAGAAGGGGCUGCAGCCGGAGGGGGACUGCCCCGUCUGCCUCGAGGCCUUCGGCGACGACGACGGCGUCAAGGUCGUCCCGGCGUGCGGCCACGUCUUCCACGCCCCCUGCAUCGACCGGUGGCUCGACGUGCGCAACUCGUGCCCCGUCUGCCGGUGCGUCGUGGUCUGCCACUACGCCGCCCGCGCAGGCCCGGGUGCCGGCGACGACGGCGACGACCAGGAGGUCGUCCUGGAGCGCGUGGUCGCCAUGAUCGAAGCUAUAAGAGAAGAGGAGGCCGCGGCGAGGCGCGCGCCGGCGACCGCGAGGGUCCGGGGGUGAUGACGCGUACGUGCCUCGGGUUGUACAGGCACAGCUAACCUAACUGGGGGACUUUAAGAACACUGAGUUGUAUAUAUUCAAAGCUAUAUAAUGUAAUGUGAUGACUGUCAGUUUCUUUGUUCAAUAAAAAUGGCUAGGAAUUAGGCACCUUAUUUCUGAAAAUUCGGCGAAAAGCAUUCCUAAGUUUGCUGGUCUAUUACCGUGGUAGACUCCGAAGAGGCAAAACUAAUGCAAAUAUAUAAGAAAAGCACAUUUCGGAGCGCCCACCGCAUGUUUUCAAGAUCAGUUCAGUUCAGAAGCCAUGCUUCACGUUUCAGCCAAGAGGAGCAUAUCCUUGGCUUUGAACACAGGAUCCUAUCAGCUGAUCCAUACUUUCACCGAAGCUGGUGAGUGCAAGGGACAUUCGAAAGGCCGCUGUCUAAACACAAGUUCUUAUUUCUUGAUCAGCAUGCAAGCCAAGAGUUCUCCAGGCACCAAUGCAUGAACAUCAUCACAUGUGGACUGAACCAACUGUUUUCUUCAAUGAUGACCUGACUGCCAACAGUUUCAGAUUGUCCAGUCAUCCCCCAUUUCUUUCUUUGCUACUAAAGACCUCUUGUAACCAUUGCUCUGUUGGGUCCCACUGUCACAUUCAAUCAGAGAAGCUAUAUGCCAAAUUGUGUUUGACAGAAUACUGUCCUCAAAAAGCGAAUAACAAAGUAAUCGACAGACUA